rnacentral:lncRNA from 1 species
UCAUGAUACAUAAAUCAAUCUCACAUCUUUAUUACAUAAUAGGAGUUCUGUAAAAAAAUACCUAAAUAAAAUACAUCAUAUGACGAUAUGAUUCUCCACAACCAUAGUUGUCUGGGAGACGAUGGCCUAGAUCUCUCCAAACUCAUCUCCAUGAUCCUUCUCCAGCGGUACAUGUACUUGACCUGGUGUGAUUAUAGCAAGGGUGAGCCCCCAUACGGUCAUCGCUCAACAAGUGUGGGGAAAAGUGUGUAUGAGCUUACUUACGGUUGGGGCUCAUGUGGUGUAAGGCUUACCAAGGAUAAUGGUUAAGUUUGAGCAUUGUUUUUAAAUAAGUUGGUCAACAUUUUAUUAGCAAUUAUUAAGUAUAAGUAUAUACCAUCCCAAAUAAAUGAGAGAUCAUAAGUAAUAAUAAUUCCCAUAGUGCAAUGCAUGACAUAUUAAGUUUAGUUCCAUCAUUUAAUCAUGUGAGUGUCUAAACCGCUCUUGACCGUGAGCACGGCUGAUAUACCAGUUUUACACUCUGUAGAGGUUACACAUCUUUUUACCCACAAGCCGUGUUUCCCGUUUAGCAAGGGUUUGCAAGGCCCUUCCAAGGUGAAUGGUCAGGGAUCCACUGAGGCCUUUACAAAGUUCCGCUAGAUUGAGAAACCCCACUACGAUUUCAGGCAAAAGGGAGUAUAGGAAUCCCUUGUCCAAAAAUAUAUCAUAAAUAGAUUGACCCGAGAACCUCCCUAUACUCUGCAGUGAUUUCACUCCCACUUGCCCCCUUUCGAGUAGGUAAUCCCUCACUAGUUUUCCUAAUUAAUUAGCCAAGAGCGUCCCAUUUCACCCUUGUGGUAGCACUAUCUUCCUGGGUGGUUCUCUAUGUUCUAACUAACAUAGUAAUAUUAUCAUAAACAACAAUUAAGCCAACUAUAAUGGCAAAGCAUGAUCAUAAUUCAUAUGUAAUAUUAAUCCCAAAACCAGGUAGAGCAUAGCAAGACUACCCAAUAAUUCAUUUGUAUGCAAGGUGUAGGGUAAACAAAACUAGGUAACCUAUUAGGUUCCAUCAAUUAAGCCUAACUGUGCAGCAGUGACUAGUAGAAUCAUAAAUAUUAUUAGGUCAAAGAAUGUGAUCAAGGACACAACUUGCCUUAUACUUGCAAUACCAGGUACUUCUCAAAGUUUGGGAUCAAAUUCCUCGUGACCUUGCUUCUACUCGUAGCAAUUGUCACACCCGGGUUUCGGGGCACCAAGACCCGGGCGUGAACAUAAUCACCAGGUGUGCUGGGACCAAGUCUCACACAUAUGAUGAAUCAUGGCAAAGGAUUGAAUGUCACAUCUUUACUAUAUAAUAGGAGUUCUAUACAAAAUAAAUAAAUAAUUACAUUAUCAGGAGACAACGGUCCAGCAACCCAAAGUUGACUGGGAGACGAUGGCCUAGACCUCUCACGAACACAUCGCAGCAUCCUCCAUGCGCCUCAUCCUGCGGUACCUAAUCUUGACCUGUGGGGGGGUGUGAGACAGCAAGAGUGAGCUCACAUACGUUCAUCGCUCAACAAGUUGUGGAGAAUAAUGUGCAUGAACUCGUUAAAGAUGGGAGCUCACGUGAAGUGUAAGGCUUACCAAAGAGGAUGGUUAGAGCUGAGCAUUGCUUUUAAAGUUGGUCAAAAUUUUAUUAGCAGUUACUAAGUAUAAGUAAAUACCAACCCAAUUAAGAAAAGUAAUAACAUCACCUGCGAUGCAAUGCAUAUGACAAAUUGAAUUUAGUUCCAUAAAUUAAUCAUGUGAGGGUCCGAGCUGCUCAUGACCGUGAGCACGACUAGUAUACCAGUUUUACACUCUGCAGAGGUUGCACAUCUUUACCCACAAGUCAUGUUACCCAUCUGCCAAGGGAUCGCGACUUCCCAUACACCUCUACCGAGGAGGCGAGGCAGGGUAACACUACGAGGCCUUUACAAAGUUCCACUAGCUUCAGAAAACCCGCUACAGUUUAUAGGAAGCUCCAAUGCAGGGAUCCCUCGCAUGAUCGCCAUCGCAGCAAAAUCAUCCCAAGGACCUCCCUACACUGACCACUCCCCUACUGCCCUUGCCCCUUUCGGGUAAGGUAGUCCUCCACUAGCUUUCCUAAUUAAUCAGCCAAGGGCGUCCAUAAACCCUUGUGGUAGCACUGUUUUCCCGGGUGGUCGCUCCAUGUUCCAAUUAAUAUAAUGAUCUUAUUAUGAACAGUAAAUAACAACGGAUAACAAAAGUAUAAUCAUGAAUAAUGUGUAUCUCAAUGCCCAAAUCCACAUAAAGCACUAGCAAGUACUACCCAGAAGUUUAGUGGUAAACAAGGCAUAAAGAUAGUCAAACUAGGGUGGCCUAUUGGGUCCCAUCAAAAUUAACCUAUGCAGAUCAUUAUGAUUAAUCAGAACAUGAAUGGGUAAAAAGAAGUGAUCAAGGGCACAACUUGCCUGGGACUUAGAGAUUCCAGGUACCAGGAUUAUCUUCAGAUAACACGUGUCCUCACUGCUAAACGUAGCAAUACAGACAAACAUGUAUAGGCAAAAUUAACAUCACACCAAACAUAAGAAUAAACUGCGUAAGCAUAUUCUACGUGUUGCUACGAGGUCGUAGGAACAAGAACCACUAAAUUCAGAGCUACGGUUAUUAAGUUAUGAUUUUAUGAAGUUAUUUAAUGCCUAAAAUAGAGCUAUUCAUGUGAAUAAUUUUAAAUCAAGUUUCAUGGUUAGACAAAGGUACUUGGUGAUAAACAAUAUUUAAACAAAAUAAAUGCCACUGGAAUGAAUCAAUUUGGAGUUAUAGAUUUUAAGUUAUGAAUUUCUGAAGGUUUUAUGUGUUUUGUACAAGAUUAAAUAUGAUAUAAAUUUUAAUGUGACUUUCAUGUCAAAACAGAGGUACUAUGUGAUAAACAACAUUAUUACAAAAUUAUAGGAACUGGAAUGGACUAAAAAGAAGUUAGUAUGAAUUUUCUAUGAAUAAAAUGAGUUUUUGGAAUUAUUUACAUACUAAAAAUUAUUUUCUAAUUGAAUUUCUGAAUUUCCCAAUGAUUUUGGACUGCACGCCAAUUCCCAGAGAAGACAGGGGCCACGGUGUAAAAUCUUCCAAGACACAGGGCACAGCACUGGUGGACGGCGGGUUGGUUUAGAUAAAUUUCAGGGACUCUUUAGCAAAGUGACUCGGCAAAGGGGUAUUGGCGAAUCAUGGCUGCUGGAUCAUAAUCGAGGGCCCGGAUUAGAUCACGAGUCGUUACGCGUUGUAACGAUCCCAACUGUUGGAUCAAUGGCGAGCGGCCUGGAUUUAAAUACCCUAAAGUCCAUCCUAUUCGCUGAUGAAUAGAUCUACGGUCACCGCGCCCGAGCUGAAUCGUUCUUUUGACUUCUAAUCUCCACCGUUAAACAAGGAUCGGACGACCCCGAGACCCCCACCAACCUCCCACAGCGGAGCGCGGCGGCGUGCUCCAUGCGCGGUGGCUCCCCGCCGGAGUCGAGUUGACUACGGGUUUGUCGAACCGUUCAACCGAGGGAAACGCGCCAAAAGAAAAUUCACACACUAACAAAUCGAACAAAGGGUUCCAUACCUAGGUUUGACGCGGCGCGAUGCUGCUCCACGCCGAACGACUCCCACGCGGCGGAGACAAGGUCCCGACGAGAAAUUCCAGUCGCUGCCGAGGUCGAAACACCCCCAGCCGGUCACGAGCGCCCCCCAGCAGCGCUGCGAAGUAGCCCAAGGCGGCACGGACCCCCCGGAAAUGGUCACGGACGGGAACGGAGCUGGCGGGUGCUCCCAGCCGCGAUCCGAGCCCGAGCAGUGAGUUCCCACGGCGCGUACGGAUGCGGCAAACAGGCGUCCGACGGCGAGGAUGUCCUGCGAGCGCAUGGCAGACCCACAGUGUCUCCCCCGCGAGCAACGAACCGAGGCCAACCCUCCAUACAUCACGCGCUCGUUGAAGGUCCACACAGGGGCGCUCUUUAUCUCUCUCCACCAUGGCACCCCUUCCUGGUUCUCCUUGUGUUCUCGCUGGGCCGCAGGUUCCAAGUCGACCCCGAAGCGAUGGGGAAACCGGGGGAUGGUUUUUAUAUUCCUAAAGCCGAGCUUCACGAUGGGAUGACGACGAAUCGAGCCCGGAAAUCUCGGUUCCUGGCAUCAGUUAGCGCCAGAUGCGGAGGGGGUUUGAGAGGAUAGGGAUGACCCUGACAGGCUGGGCCCACACGCAAGACACUCAGGCGAGAGGUGCUGAGGACAGCGUCCCAGUACGCGCGCCAUCGCCGUGAGGCCGCCCACAUGACCCCACAAGUCGGUGACAGUGUGUAUGUGUGCGGGAUGUGAAUUGGGCUAGCAGGGUGCUCAUGGGCCGCAUGGAUGUGAGCCAGGUUGGGCUGAGGGGGAGGGAAUUCAGCCCAGAAUCCAGUUUGUCCAUUUUCCCUUUUUUUCUUUUCUAAUUCCUAAUUCAAAUUUAGUUUGCAAUUCACACUCAAGGUUUGAGUUCAACUUUUAAAUGCACAGUGAAAACUCCAGCAUGAGAUUCAAGUUAUAUUUGUAGAGAAUAUUUUAUUCAGUUAUUUAGAAAUAUAUAUUUCAAAUGUGAAGUAAACAUAUUGUUGAGAAAUACUAUUUUUGAUGUAAGUUUAAAGGUUCUCCCAUAAUUCAACAUUUAUUUUUUUUAUUUAUUAAAAUUAAAGGGAUAUGUUUUAUGAAGGAUGAAAAACAUUUAUAGAAGUUAUUUUAUCUCAAAUUAUUCGGACAUUUUUUAUAACUUCACAAAAUAAGAUUUUGGGUAUUACAACAAUGCAUACAAAUAAUGAAAUAAUGGAUACAAAUAACGUUACACCAAACAUGAGGAAAACUACGUAGUAAUAUUCUACAAGACGAGACGAGAUCGUAGGUUCGAGAACCACUAAAAUCAGAGUUAAAAUGUGAAAGAUAUCAAUUUUCUAAGUUUCCUAGGCAUUGUAUAUUAAUUUUACACUUAAAAGAAUUUACUCACCCGUGUUUAAGGACAAAUAUAUAUACAUAUCAAAUGUGUGCUAGGAUCAAGUCUCACACAUAUGAUGUCAUGGUACAUAAAUCAAUGUCACAUCUUUAUUACGUAAUAGGAGUUCUAUAUAGAAUAGCUAAAUAAAAUACAUCAUAUGACGAUAUGAUCCUCCACAAUCAUAGUUGUUUGGGAGACUACGACCUAGAUCUCUCCGAACUCAUCUUCAUGAUCCUUCUCUAGCGGUACCUAUACUUAACCUGGUGUGAUUAUAGCAAGGGUGAGCUCUCAUACGAUCUUCGCUCAUCAAGUGUGGGGAAAACUGUGUAUGUGUUCAUUUAUGGUUGGGGCUCAUGUGGUGUAAGGAUACGAAGCAUAAUGGUUAAGGCUAGCCAUUGCUUUUAAAUAAGUUGAUCAAAAUUUUAUUAGCAAUUACUAAGUAUAAGUAUAUACCAUCCUAAAUAGAUGAGAGAUCAUAAGUAAUAAUAACUCCCACAAUGCAAUGCAUGACAUGUUAAAUUUAGUUCCAUCAUUUAGUCAUGUGAGUGUCCGAGUCGCUCUUGACCGUGAGCACAGAUAUACCAGUUGUACACUCUAUAGAAGUUGCGCAUCUUUAACCACAACACAUGUUUCCCGUUUAGCCAGAGAUUCCAAGGCCCUUAGACGCUUCCAAAUUGAAUGGCUAGGGAUCCACUCCAAGACCUUUAUAAAGUUUCGCUAGCUUGAGAAAACCCGUUAUGGUUUAAGAACCACUAAAUCAGAGUUAAAAAAUGAAAGAUGUGAAUUUUCUAAGUUUUCUAGGCAUUUUAUAUUAAUUUUACACUUAAAAACAUUUACUAAAUGUUUUUAUGUAUUUCCUGGAUUUAUUUUAUUUUUUAAUCAGUAAAAAGGACGGUGUUCACUAUUUCUAAGAGUUCGGGCCCUGUAAAAGUUAUGGGCCUAAAUUAAAUUUCUUUAGCUAAGUUAGGACUGCGGGUUGAUAUAUGACUCUGCUCUAUUCGGCUGUUAUAACUCUGCUCUAUCCCUGGUCAUUGGAUCCAAAGGCAACGACACAGACUAGUCUCCCAUUUCUACGAACCGGUACACUCUCUGAUCUCUCCGAUUCCACAUCUACGACGUACGAUCGUCCACGUCUUGGCUUAACAUCUACUCGCCCGAUCAAACUCUGAUGGUUCAGAUGGAUUCAAGCCGAAUGGGUAAAUUAGAUUUAAUCCAGUCCAUCCAUCCAUCCAUCCACAUCCAACGUCCACGCUCUCAUCCCUCUCCUCUGGUGGUCGAACACGGAGGCGCGCACGAUCACCACGGAGGCGGCAAUUCUGGCAACCGGUGAAACAACGCUCUGGCGAGCAACACCCUUCAACAAACAGGGCUACACUAUGUGGAGGUCGCGAUGAACGAUUGGAAAUAGAUCUCACCGAAUAUGAUGGCGAAGAGGCCCUGGGUCCACGGCGUGGUGAAGCUCCGCGACGGCGCUUGACCUCCGACGAGCACGCUCCUGCUAUAGGGUGUCAUUGCUCAGAUGCAGACGGUGCUACUCGUUAAGGGGACAGUGGAGAGCACGAUGAGGGGAUUCCUACCCAAAGAGGUGCCGGUGGUGACAUGGUCCGUGUCGAACUGCGGCUCCACAACGUCCGACUUGCUCCAGUGAGAAAUUCGGCCGGCCCUUAUGGCUCACACUUCACACCAGUGUCUUGACCAACCUCCUUGCCUCCCAAUCGAAUUCCAUAGCCACCAACCGAGGCCGGAGGGACGGCGUGGUCAAGAUCCGGAGCGCGACGUCUCUCUCCUUGCUCUCUGCUCUCUUCGCUACGUGAUUUCUCAAUGCUCGGCUAUUGACGUUGGCC